ACUGGGGCGGUCUCCUCCUAAAGAGUAACGGAGGAGCACGAAGGUUGGCUAAUCCUGGUCGGACAUCAGGAGGUUAGUGCAAUGGCAUAAGCCAGCUUGACUGCGAGCGUGACGGCGCGAGCAGGUGCGAAAGCAGGUCAUAGUGAUCCGGUGGUUCUGAAUGGAAGGGCCAUCGCUCAACGGAUAAAAGGUACUCCGGGGAUAACAGGCUGAUACCGCCCAAGAGUUCAUAUCGACGGCGGUGUUUGGCACCUCGAUGUCGGCUCAUCACAUCCUGGGGCUGAAGUAGGUCCCAAGGGUAUGGCUGUUCGCCAUUUAAAGUGGUACGCGAGCUGGGUUUAGAACGUCGUGAGACAGUUCGGUCCCUAUCUGCCGUGGGCGCUGGAGAACUGAGGGGAGCUGCUCCUAGUACGAGAGGACCGGAGUGGACGCAUCACUGGUGUUCGGGUUGUCAUGCCAAUGGCACUGCCCGGUAGCUAAAUGCGGAAGAGAUAAGUGCUGAAAGCAUCUAAGCACGAAACUUGCCCCGAGAUGAGUUCUCCCUGACUCCUUGAGAGUCCUGAAGGAACGUUGAAGACGACGACGUUGAUAGGCCGGGUGUGUAAGCGCAGCGAUGCGUUGAGCUAACCGGUACUAAUGAACCGUGAGGCUUAACCUUACAACGCCGAAGGUGUUU
rnacentral:rRNA from 1 species